AGAUCCACAUCUCGUGUAGACUUUAUCACAAUUUAUACAUAUAUUCCUUAGAUUAAUAAUUUAUGACACGCAUCCUAUAUUAACUUGCAACAUAAAAUGUUGUAGUUUCGAAGAACAAUGUAUUUUUUAGGUAAAAUACUGAAGAUGACGUAUAUUCGGGUUGAAGGGACGAUUUUGAUUUUCUAGCAAUUUUUUAAUUUUCCUGUAUGGUAUCCCGAUUUAACUGUAUUUUUUAUGAUUUGUAAAAUGCUAACUUAUAGUAUCACAUCUUCUUGGCAACCCUAAAGGUAAUGAG
rnacentral:lncRNA from 1 species